rnacentral:misc_RNA from 1 species
GAUGAAGAACGCAGCGAAAUGCGAUACGUAAUGUGAAUUGCAGAAUUCAGUGAAUCAUCGAAUCUUUGAACGCACAUUGCGCCUGCCAGCACUCUGGCAGGCAUGCCUGUUCGAGCGUCAUUUCAACCAUCAAGCCCUAGGCUUGCGUUGGAGCCCUGCGGCUGCCGCAGGCCCCUAAAAGCAGUGGCGGGCUCGCUAUCACACCGAGUGCAGUAGAUUACUCUUCGCUCAGGGCGUGUGGCGGGUUCCAGCCGUGAAACCCCCUACUUCUCAAGGUUGACCUCGGAUCAGGUAGGACUACCCGCUGAACUUAAGCAUAUCAAUAAGCGGAGGA